rnacentral:rRNA from 1 species
CCCUACGGGGGGCUGCAGUGGGGAAUUUUGGACAAUGGGCGAAAGCCUGAUCCAGCCAUGCCGCGUGCAGGAUGAAGGCCUUCGGGUUGUAAACUGCUUUUGUACGGAACGAAAAGACUCUGGUUAAUACCUGGGGUCCAUGACGGUACCGUAAGAAUAAGCACCGGCUAACUACGUGCCAGCAGCCGCGGUAAUACGUAGGGUGCAAGCGUUAAUCGGAAUUACUGGGCGUAAAGCGUGCGCAGGCGGUUAUAUAAGACAGAUGUGAAAUCCCCGGGCUCAACCUGGGAACUGCAUUUGUGACUGUAUAGCUAGAGUACGGUAGAGGGGGAUGGAAUUCCGCGUGUAGCAGUGAAAUGCGUAGAUAUGCGGAGGAACACCGAUGGCGAAGGCAAUCCCCUGGACCUGUACUGACGCUCAUGCACGAAAGCGUGGGGAGCAAACAGGAUUAGAUACCCUAGUAGUCA